GACGAACGCUGGCGGCGUGCUUAACACAUGCAAGUGGUGCGACGAACCGAGGGCUUGCCCGUGGGGCAAAGCCGCGAACGGGUGAGUAACACGUGGGUAAUCUGCCCCGAUGACCGGGACAACCCGAGGAAACUCGGGCUAAUACCGGAUGAUGAGCCUUGGCGUAAGCCUUGUCUCUAAAGGAAGCUUCGGCCUCCGCAUUGGGGAGGAGCCCGCGGCCCAUUAGCUUGUUGGUGGGGUAAUGGCCACCAAGGCAACGAUGGGUAGCUGGUCUGAGAGGACGACCAGCCACACUGGGACUGAGACACGGCCCAGACUCCUACGGGAGGCA
rnacentral:rRNA from 1 species